AUGGGUUAUCAUCAGAUUCGUAUCCGUGAGCAAGAUAUUCCCAAGACGCCUUUCAGGACAAGCUUUGGUUCAUAUGAAUACACUGUCAUGUCUUUUGGCCUCGUCAACGCUCCUCCGACGUUCUCUCGCAUGAUGAACUUCAUCUUCAACGCCUACACCAAUGACUUCGUUUUGGUCUAUCUCGACGACAUUCUGGUUUUCUCCAAGAACAAGGAAGAUCAUGCCAAACACUUGCGUUUGGUGCUUGAUAAGCUCAGGGAACAUCAAUUCUACGCCAAGUUCUCCAAGUGUGAAUUUUGGCUCGAUGAGGUUCUUUAUCUUGGUCAUAUCAUCUCUGCCAAGGGCAUUGCCAUGAAUCCUGAGAAGGUGUCUGCAAUUGUUAAUUGGGAACCUCCUCAGAACGUGAAGCAACUCCGCAGUUUCCUCGGUCUCACAAGCUAUUGCAGAAGAUUCGUUGAAAACUUUUCUAAGAUCACAAAGCCUCUCUCAAAUCUUCUUCAGAAGCACAUCAAGUACGUUUGGUCUCCGGAGUGUGAUAUUGCUUUCAACACUUUGAAAGAGAAGUUGAUCACUGCUCCAGUUUUGACUCCGCCUGAUGAAUCCAAGCCGUACAAGGUCUUUUGUGAUGCCUCUCUCCAAGGUCUCGGUGCAGUCUUGAUGCAAGAGAAGAAAGUUGUUGCUUAUACCUCCCGCCAGUUGAAACCUAAUGAGAAGAACUACCCCACUCAUGAUCUAGAGUUGGCGGCAGUUGUGCAUGCUCUGUUGACUUGGAGACAUCUUCUAUUGGGAAGAAAAGUGGAUAUUUUCACUGAUCACAAGAGUCUCAAGUACAUCUUCACUCAGCCUAAUCUCAACCUCAGGCAAACUCGAUGGGUCGAAAUGAUUCAAGAGUUUAAUCCGAGUAUCGAGUAUACUCCAGGCAAGGCCAAUGUGAUCGCUGACGCUUUGAGCAGGAAAGCGUAUUGCAACAGUCUGAUUCUUAAGCCUUAUCAACCCGAGCUUUGUGAAGCUUUCCGCAAACUGAAUCUGCAAGUUGUUCCUCAAGGUUUCCUCGCCAACCUUCACGUCUCCCCUACCUUAGAAGACCAGAUUCGCCAAGCCCAGCUUCUUGAUGCUAUGGUGAAAAAGGUGAAGAUUGGUAUUGCAAAGAGUCAGUCCAAGUACAAGUGCUACCGCCUUGAUUACAAGGACACUCUCUUCUUCGAGGAUCGAAUUGUUGUACCCAAAGGUGACCUCCGUAAAGUGGUCAUGAAUGAGGCUCACAAUUCUCUCCUCUCCAUCCACCCUAGGAGUACGAAGAUGUAUCAGGAUCUCAAGCAAGCUUAUUGGUGGACUCGAAUGAAGUGCGAGAUCGCUCAAUUCGUGAACGAGUGUGAUGUCUAUAGAAGAGUGAAGGUAGAACAUCAAAGGCCAGCAGGUCUCCUCCAACCUCUUGCCAUUCCAGAAUGGAAGUUUGACCACAUUGAAAUGGACUUCGUGACUGGGUUUCCAAAGUCCAAGCAUGGCAAUGAUGCUAUAUUCGUUGUCAUCGACAAGCUCACCAAAGUGGCUCACUUUCUGCCGAUCAAAGAGUCGAUCACUGCAGCUCAAUUGGCGGAACUCUAUACCUCUCGAAUUGUCUCUCUGCACGGUAUUCCUCAAGUGAUAUCUUCAGACCGUGGCAGCAUCUUUACCUCCAAGUUUUGGGAUUCUUUUCAAAAGGCCAUGGGCACCAACAUCCGCUUCAGCACUGCUUUCCAUCCUCAAACAAGCGGUCAAGUCGAGCGUGUCAACCAGAUUCUUGAAGAUAUGCUCAGGGCUUGUGUGAUUUCCUUCGGCAUGAAAUGGGAGAAUUGUCUUCCUUAUGCUGAAUUCUCAUACAACAACAGUUUUCAAGCAAGUUCGGGCAAGGCCCCAUUUGAAAUUCUGUAUGGCAGGAAGUGCCGUACCCCUCUCAACUAG
rnacentral:rRNA from 1 species